rnacentral:tRNA from 1 species
GGGGAUGUAGCUCAUAUGGUAGAGCGCUCACUUCGCAUGCGAGAGGUACGAGUAUCGAUAACCUACAUCUCCA